CUACCAUGGCGUUUACGGGUAACGGAGGAUUAGGGUUCGAUUCCGGAGAGGGAGCCUGAGAAACGGCUACCACAUCUAAGGAUGGCAGCAGGCGCGUAAAUUACCCAAUCCUGAUUCAGGGAGGUAGUGACAAGAAAUAACGGACCGGGUCGCAAGACUUCGGGAUUGCAAUGAGCCGAAUUUACACCCCUUAGCGAGAAUCGAUUGGAGGGCAAGUCUGGUGCCAGCAGCCGCGGUAAUUCCAGCUCCAAUAGCGUAUAUUAAAGUUGUUGCAGUUAAAAAGCUCGUAGUUGGAUUUCUGGGAGGGUGCUAAUGUCCGCCGUAGUGCGUGUGCAGCCGCGCCCUUCCAUCCUUCUGUUAACGUCUCUUGGCAUUUGUUUGCUGGUGGCGGGCUCAGAUAUUUUACCUUGAGAAAAUUAGAGUGUUUCAGGCAGGCUAGGCCGGAAUAUAUUAGCAUGGAAUAAUGGAAUAGGACUAUGGUCUCUUUGUUGGUUUGAGGGACUGCAGUAAUGAUUAAUAGGGAUAGUUGGGGGCAUUAGUAUUUAAUUGUCAGAGGUGGAAUUCUCAGAUUUGUUAAAGACUAACUUAUGCGAAAGCAUUUGCCAAGGAUGUUUUCAUUAAUCAA
rnacentral:rRNA from 1 species